rnacentral:rRNA from 1 species
UACGAAGGGGGCUAGCGUUGCUCGGAAUUACUGGGCGUAAAGCGCACGUAGGCGGCUCUUUAAGUCGGGGGUGAAAUCCUGGAGCUCAACUCCAGAACUGCCUUCGAUACUGGAGAGCUUGAGUUCGGGAGAGGUGAGUGGAACUGCGAGUGUAGAGGUGAAAUUCGUAGAUAUUCGCAAGAACACCAGUGGCGAAGGCGGCUCACUGGCCCGAUACUGACGCUGAGGUGCGAAAAGCGUGGGGAGCAAACAGG